rnacentral:rRNA from 1 species
UACGGAGGGUGCAAACGUUGCUCGGAAUCAUUGGGCGUAAAGCGCACGUAGGCGGAUGUGUCAGUCAGGGGUGAAAUCCCGGAGCUCAACUUCGGAACUGCCUUUGAUACAGCACGUCUUGAGUCCGAUAGAGGUGGGUGGAAUUCCUAGUGUAGAGGUGAAAUUCGUAGAUAUUAGGAAGAACACCGGUGGCGAAGGCGGCCCACUGGAUCGGUACUGACGCUGAGGUGCGAAAGCGUGGGGAGCAAACAGG